AUUUUUUGAAGGUCGGCUUCGAAAUCAGCACUAAAUUGUGCUUCAAAAAUUUUGGUCGUUGACAGAAGUUCACGACUUUCGUUUUAUUUUGUAAACUUGUGUUACCAUACAUGCUUUUAUGAAAUAUUUUGCACAAACUAAAAAAAAUCGCAACUUAGAAUCAAACCAGGAACGUCAAGGUUGGCAAGUACGUGCAUUACUCAAACGCCCAUCGACGCUUCGGAAGUUGAAGUGGUAAGAAGCCAAUAAAAGGUUUUGUUGUUUUUAGCAAUGGUGUUUCAUAACACAUCUUAUGAUUUUCAUACGAUGCUUCUUGUGAGAUUUUUCAUACGACAAAUCUUAUGGAUUUCGCUUUUCAAUGUAUGAAAAGCAUACGAGAACUAUGAAAUGAUGAAAAAAUAAAAGUAACUGAUUCAUAAGAUGCAAACUAUGAAAAGCAUUCGAACAGUAUCCUCAGUGUAGUUAAGGACCCAACACCGGAGUAAAUGCACAUGAUGAGAAUAUAGCACAUUUAGUUCACCACUGAACUAUACUAUCGCACUAGUUUUUAAGAGUGCGAAAACGUAAAUAAGUGCGAAAAUUAAAAAAAAGCGCGAUUGUAUCGAAUAAACUCGGUGUCUUCAGAGUACUUAUUCAGCAAAGAUCAAAGAAGUUGUGCUCCACAAACAUCAACUUGAUUUGAUGCAAGCACGAUUUUUUUUCGCACUUUUGAAGACUAAGUGCGCAGUCCAGUGCUGAACUGGAAAAAGGAUGAUAUUCAAAUACCGGUCGUUAGAGGUCCCAGAGAGGUUGAUAGGCCGGUAGAGUGGCGCACCGAUGGUAGAAGAUCUUUCCAUGGAAUCGUGUUGCUUGAUAGUGCAGCACAAAGUGGGAGGUAAACUCCUUCUAAAGCUAAAUAUCACCACGAGACCGAUAGCGAACAAGUACCGUGAGGGAAAGUUGAAAAGCACUCUGAAUAGAGAGUCAAAAAGUACGUGAAACUGCCUAGGGCUCAAGCCCGUUGAACUCGAUUAUCCGAGCGGAGACAUUCACCUGCGGUUGGCCGGCGACGGCACGGCCGCAGGGCACUUGUCUCUCGCACUAGCCAAGAGGACACUGCGAUCCAUUACGAAACAGCUUUCGCGCCGCAAGGCGCAAGGUCGCCCGACAACUGCCCCCUGGUGCUGGUUGCUUGCCCCACAGUAGCGACGCUCAGUUCUGAAGGCCUGUGCCGCGAGGUGGGGCUUACUGCACGUGGUGUUUUGCAGUCGGGCGCGUGAUGGAUUCCCCCGGACACCGGGUGGUCUUCCCGUAAGGGGCCACCGGACUGUCGAUCGGCAGUGAAAGAAUCGAGGUACCUUCGGGACCCGUCUUGAAACACGGACCAAGAAGUCUAUCUUGCGCGCGAGCCAAUAGUCGUCCUCCGGAGCACCAUAGGCGCAGAAAACAUAACUUGAGUUGUGCGGGAUUACGGGCGCGGCUCUCUGCUCGUCCAUCCAUCCCCGGGUGUUGUAAUCGGCAUGCGGCUACCGGGACCCAGGCUUCACGGCCCCCGGCAUCGUGCCUCAACAUACCGUGAGUGUGCAGGAUGUGACCCGAAAGAUGGUGAACUAUGCCUGAUCAGGUUGAAGUCAGGGGAAACCCUGAUGGAGGACCGAAGCAGUUCUGACGUGCAAAUCGAUUGUCAGAAUUGGGCAUAGGGGCGAAAGACCAAUCGAACCAUCUAGUAGCUGGUUCCCUCCGAAGUUUCCCUCAGGAUAGCUGGAGCACGCAACGUUUCGAAUCCUAUUCUUAUCUGGUAAAGCGAAUGAUUAGAGGCCUUAGGUUCGAAAUGAUCUUAACCUAUUCUCAAACUAUAAAUGGGUACGUACCAUAGCAUUCUUGCAUGAUGCUGUUGCAAACGUUGGUAAACGCCGGGCCGUCCCCUGUCAGGGCGUGCCACGGCGUAGAAGAUAUCUGUGUGCUUAGUGGGCCAAGUUUUGGUAAGCAGAACUGGUGCUGUGGGAUGAACCAAACGUAAUGUUACGGCGCCUAAAUAAACGACGCAUCAUAGAUACCAUGAAAGGUGUUGAUUGCUACAGACAGCAGGACGGUGGACACGGAAGUUGUCAUCCGCUAAGGAAUGUGUAACAACUCGCCUGCCGAGCAAUUAUCACUUUAUGAAAGGUUACAAAUAACACAGCGAAACAAAAAUUAACUAUUGGUCUGUCUCAAGAGCAAACUUAUGUAUCUGCGACGGAUUUGGGGCCACUGAAUCCGAAUCCGGAUUGAAAUUUGCUCCAGCACGUCACAAUUUUGAGAUAUAUCUCAAUUUAUAAAGU
rnacentral:ncRNA from 1 species